rnacentral:sRNA from 1 species
GGUCGCAGGUUCGAAUCCUGCACGACCCACCAAUUUCAGCAUUUAACUCAAAUGUUGAACGUGAAGGAUAACGUUGCGUCAGCAACGGCCCGAAGGGCGAGGCGAAGCCGAGUCAUCCUGCACGACCCACCA